AUGUGGUUUAAUUCGAAGCAACGCGAAGAACCUUACCAGGUCUUGACAUCCUUUGACCACUCUAGAGAUAGAGCUUUCCCUUCGGGGACAAAGUGACAGGUGGUGCAUGGUUGUCGUCAGCUCGUGUCGUGAGAUGUUGGGUUAAGUCCCGCAACGAGCGCAACCCUUAUUGUUAGUUGCCAUCAUUUAGUUGGGCACUCUAGCGAGACUGCCGGUGACAAACCGGAGGAAGGUGGGGAUGACGUCAAAUCAUCAUGCCCCUUAUGACCUGGGCUACACACGUGCUACAAUGGGAAGUACAACGAGUCGCUAGACCGCGAGGUCAUGCAAAUCUCUUAAAGCUUCUCUCAGUUCGGAUUGCAGGCUGCAACUCGCCUGCAUGAAGCCGGAAUCGCUAGUAAUCGCGGAUCAGCACGCCGCGGUGAAUACGUUCCCGGGCCUUGUACACACCGCCCGUCACACCACGAGAGUUUGUAACACCCGAAGUCGGUGAGGUAACCUUUUUGGAGCCAGCCGCCUAAGGUGGGAUAGAUGAUUGGGGUGAAGUCGUAACAAGGUAGCCGUAUCGGAAGGUGCGGCUGG
rnacentral:rRNA from 1 species